AGUGUAACGUCAGCCGUGUAAGGGCCGGUACAAGUGGCUGGGUCUUACUGGUAUGCUGAACCGGCCCACUUUCACCUCUGGUAAUUAUGAUGUUUAUUCUAAAUAUCAGUGUUGUUAGUUUGCAGAAGCGUAUUUGGAGCACAAAGACAUCAGUAUGGUAGAAACAACACAAGAGGCUAAUAUUGCGUUUAGAAGACAUAUAGCAAUUCUUCUAAUGAAGGAGUCAGAAAACGUGGAAGACUACUGCAUAUACUGCAACCUCGUCAACUGUGAAAAGGAAAGUGAGGAUUGCACGAUGGUACAGUGUGAUUCUUGCAAGAGGUGGGCACAUUUGCCCUGCAUUACAGAAGGAACCAAUCAAGACUACCUGCCUGAUGACAAGAAAGAGUACAACUGCAAAAAAUGUGCAUAGUUCACUUC